CUGAGCUGGUGAUGAGAUAGUUAUCCCUGUCCGAAACGUUCCUCUGUGGAAGCGUGACUCUGAGGCUCAG
ensembl:snoRNA small nucleolar RNA, C/D box 1B